CCUACGGGAGGCAGCAGUGGGGAAUAUUGCACAAUGGGGGAAACCCUGAUGCAGCGACGCCGCGUGAGUGAAGAAGUAUUUCGGUAUGUAAAGCUCUAUCAGCAGGGAAGAAAAUGACGGUACCUGUUUAAGAAGCCCCGGCUAACUACGUGCCAGCAGCCGCGGUAAUACGUAGGGGGCAAGCGUUAUCCGGAUUUACUGGGUGUAAAGGGAGCGUAGACGGCAGCACAAGUCUGGAGGGAAAUGCCGGGGCUUAACCCCGGAACGGCUUUGGAAACUGUGCAGCUAGAGUGCAGGAGAGGUAAGUGGAAUUCCUAGUGUAGCGGUGAAAUGCGUAGAUAUUAGGAGGAACACCAGUGGCGAAGGCGGCUUACUGGACUGUAACUGACGUUGAGGCUCGAAAGCGUGGGGAGCAAACAGGAUUAGAUACCCGUGUAGUC
rnacentral:rRNA from 1 species